UCUUGCUUCCAAUUUUACUUCUACAAAUGUCUAGUACUUCACACUUCCAAUUAAGUUAAAUUAUGUUUUUUCUAAUUUGCAGCUUUUUGACCGAUUCUUUUUUUGUUUCUUUUCCUCUUUUGAUACAAGAUCCAAAGCUUUUGGACUAGAAAAUGGUAUGAUUUUGUUUGGGGAUGCUAUGGUUAUUUGGAGAAGCACAAAGCUAAAGUAGAUAUAUUCUUUGAUAUGCAGUCUUAAUUGGGAGUAACGACGAAGAUGUAAUCAAACGAAGACCCGCACAACAGACAAAGAAGGAGGUACAUUCUUAUAAUCAUACCGUCAGUGGAUCAUAUCCUUUGUUUGGGUUUUGCACGUUCACUACAUGGUGGCACCUUCAAGGUCAUUUAUCUCUAUGUAUCUCUUUCUCUUUACUCAAAAUGAACCUCCAAGGAGAUUGAUACCACAUACUAGAACAAUUACAAUAGAAGCCACAAACAAACUCUCCAAAUGGAAUUACGGUAAAAUCAUAUAUUUGUACUUCUUGCUGUGUUUUUGGGAAUGCUUUACUGUUUGGACCUGUGGCUUACUGAAUUGUUGUUAAUCAGUCCUAGACCUUGUCUUGGAAAUAGUCAUUUAAUUUGGUUCCCUUUCUCUUACCGCCUUGAAUCGUAUACUUGGAUUUUGUUGUUUAUGUGUGUUAAUUAAUUAUCUUUUUAGCUUCUGAUGGGAGUUCCUAAAAAUUAUUGUAUUGAAUAGUACAAUAAAACACCCCCACCUCCUCUCCUCCCUUGUCCCUACAUUUAUUUCACUUCUCAUUUGUGUUCCAAUUUUGUAAGAUCUACCAAUUUUCUCUUCAUUUGUGCAUAUUUUCUUCAAAUCUCAGUUCCAAAAUGCGUGAAAUCCUUCAUAUUUAAGGUGGACAAUGUGGUAACCAAAUUGGUGCCAAGUUCUGGGAAGUUUUUUGUGCCAAACACGACAUUGAUUCUACCGAUCGUUACAGUGGUGAUUCUGAUCUCCACUUGAGAGAAUUAAUGUGUAUUACAAUGAGGUUACCAGUGGAAGAUUUGUUCCUAGGGAUGUUCUUAUGGAUUUGGAGCCUCACACCAUGGACAAUAUUAGAUCUGGUCCUUAUGGACAGAUCUUCCAUCCUGAUAACUUUGUUUUUGGACAAUCUGGUGCUGGUAACAAUUGGGCUAAGGUAAGUUACACCGAAGGUGCUAAAUUCAUUAAUGUCGUUCUCGAUAUUGGUCGUAAGAAAGCCUAAAACUUUGACUGCCUUCAAGGUUUGUGUUUCUACCCGCAUUUUCUUAAACAUUUUGUUUUCAUUUGGUGUUGUUGUUGUAGAUCUGUGCAUUUUGAGGAUUUAUUUACGUUCUAUGUGUUUGAUUUUCAGGAUUUCAAUUGUGCCAUUCAUUGGGUGGAGGAACAGGUUCUUGUAUGGGAACACUUUUGAUCUUAAAGAUCAGAGAAGAAUACCCGGACAGAAUGAUGCUUACCUUCUCCGUUUUCCCUUCACCUAAGGUUUUUAACAUUGCUGUUGAGCCUUAUAAUGCUACCUUGUCCUUGCAUCAACUGGUUGAAAAUGCCGAUGAGUGCAUUGUUCUUGGUAAUGAGGUUCUAUACUACAUCUUCUUCAGAACCCUAAAGCUCAUCACCCUAAGUUAUUCUUGCUUAACACAUCGCCCAAGGAAAAAGACCUUGUGAGACCACUGAUAAAAUCCAUCACACACCAAAAGUCCAAACUAGUGUGAAAGAGUUGACAGUACUCAUCAACAAGAAUUAUACAACGCAAGACCGUGAUCUGCUAGCAAGUUUGCUUUGAAGAACCCAAAUAAGAGACUUAUUAUACUGCAUAUAGAAUCAGAGGUGAUAGAGUUCUUGAAUAUGAAUUACCGGUGAAAGGUUAAGAAAUGGAGAGCUAUGUACAUUCUGUCAUUGGUAUAAAAAGUUACAUGAAUGGAGGAUAGUUCAACAUUUUCAUGAACUAUAUAUGCAGCUUAGUCAAUAUUACAUGAACUAGUGAUGAAAGUAGAAGGAAUGAAGCUCUAUUGUGUGUAAGUUUGAAAUCAGAACCCUCGUAACUAGUAGCCUCAAAACCACCAAAGUUUUUAUCAUCCAACUAAAGAUAUGUGAAUCGAAUCACCUGAAGUCAAACUCUGUUGCAACAAGUCCAAAAAGACACUAGUUAUACAUAAUUUAAGGAUUAUAUGCAUAGAUGUUAACAAACCCCAUAUACUGCCCUUCCUUGAUCUUUCUAAUCGUGCCAUAUAAAGACAAAAUAGCUAUACCAUUCUUGCAUAACACAUCGCCCACUGAUAAUUUUAUCUUUCAUACCAUCCACAAAUAGAAAGAUAAUUUAUAAGAUAGACUAGUAACACACAUUUUACUAAAAACCCAUUGUUGCUCCUCUUUCUUGUUGAAGGAUUAAGAAUGAUAUUUUUCAUUUGUUGAAUUAUGAGUAAUUUUAAGUAGAUUUAUUUAGUGAAUUAAUUAUUAUCAAGAUGUUGGGUCCUAGUCUUGAACUACAUUAAGUAGUUUUAUUGCAGCAAAUGCUUGGUAAGCUUCUAGAAUUUUUUACUUGUAUAGUAGACUUCGUAUAGAAUUAAGGCUUUGAAAGUUGAUAUUUGUUUGAAUUCUUUAGUUGAAUACCUCUGAACUAGUAGUCGUUAUUGGGCCUGACAAAAGAUCUACAAUAAAUAAAUGGACGAAAUAGUGUUAAUGUAGUAGGUGAGGUUUUGUUAAUAUGAACUCCAACAUGAUGCAUGACUCUUUAUAAAUCUAGGCAAUGCAUGCAACAUUGUCUGUAAUCAUUUUAUUUUGUCCAAUUAUCGGGGAUUAGUUAACUUGUACAUUAAAUGGUCAUAUGUUCUAAUACUUUACAUGUUAGAUGUUGAGUUAAUACAGUUCUCAAUUAUUAGCAUUUUGA